CCUACGGGUGGCAGCAGUGGGGAAUAUUGGGCAAUGGGCGAAACCCUGACCCAGCAAAGCCGCGUGAAUGAUGAAGGUCCUAGGAUUUGUAAGCUCUUUUCUUAGGGAAGUAGAGAGUGACGCUACCUUAUGUAUAUGCCUCGUCUAUCUAUGUGCCAGCAGACGCUGUAAUACGUAGGCGGCGAUAGUUAUGCGGAUUGGAUGGGCGUACAGGGUGCGUAGGUUGAUUGGUAAGUUAGUAGCGAAACUGCGAGGCUCAACCUUGAAAAUACUACUAACACUGGUGGCCUUGAGUUCAGGUGGGGCAGGCGGAAUUCGUGGUGUAGCGGUGGAAUGCGUAGAUAUUACGAAGAACACCGGUGGCGAAGGCGGGUUGCUAAACUGUAACUGACACUGAGGCACGAAAGCGUGGGGAGCAAACAGGAUUAGAUACCCCAGUAGUC
rnacentral:rRNA from 1 species